UACGGGGGGGGCAAGCGUUGUUCGGAAUUACUGGGCGUAAAGGGCGUGUAGGCGGCCUAUUAAGUCGGACGUGAAAUCCCUCGGCUCAACCGGGGAACUGCGUCCGAUACUGGCAGGCUUGAAUCCGGGAGAGGGAUGUGGAAUUCCAGGUGUAGCGGUGAAAUGCGUAGAUAUCUGGAGGAACACCGGUGGCGAAGGCGGCAUCCUGGACCGGUAUUGACGCUGAGGCGCGAAAGCUAGGGUAGCAAACGGG
rnacentral:rRNA from 1 species